UACGUAGGGGGCAAGCGUUGUCCGGAUUUAUUGGGCGUAAAGAGCGUGUAGGCGGCCAGACAGGUCCGUUGUGAAAACUCGAGGCUCAACCUCGAGACGCCGAUGGAAACCGUCUGGCUAGAGUCCGGAAGAGGAGAGUGGAAUUCCUGGUGUAGCGGUGAAAUGCGCAGAUAUCAGGAAGAACACCCGUGGCGAAGGCGGCUCUCUGGAACGCAACUGACGCUGAGACGCGAAAGCGUGGGGAGCAAACAGG
rnacentral:rRNA from 1 species